CCCCACUCGCUCGUCCUCCACCCCUCCCGUGGCCACCAGCCCACCACAUGCCGCCGCCAUCUCCUACAUCCACUGGCUGCCACCUUCGCCUGCUCCUCCCUCCCCCACAUCUCCCUCCCUCCCACGCAGCCGCCUCCCUCCCUCGCUCGCCCCUCAUCUGUAGACAGCGACGGCGGCUCCCGUGCCCACGUUCUUCCUCCCACGGUCCCACCAACCACCAACUCCUCCCCAUCGCCAUGGACGAGCUUGAGCUCCAGGUGCUCCUUCUCUACCUAGAAGCCCAAGGGUGUUCAAGGCGACAAGGGGAUCAACCUCAACCUGCCAACCCUAGCUGCCCCCAUGCCACCGCCGGCUCCUUCUCCCGGCCUGCCGGAUCCCGCCGUCCGCAUCCCCGGCGUUGUCGCCGUAGCCGUCAUCCUCGUGUGCACUCGACAGGAGAAGUGCGGCUCUCCUCUUAGCCCGUCUCGGUUCUCUAUUGCUCUCACAGUCCCCUUUCCAAACCCUAACCCUCCUCUUCUUCAUUAACUGCCGGCGAUUGGCAAGGGGAGCACAAGUCGAGGUGCGCCGCCUUCGAUUCUGCAGUGUGCCUGAUGGCUGCUUCUGCAGUAGCAGCGGCGGCAAGCCUUGGAAUGGCUCGGGACACCAGAAGCGGGCAACGAAGGCCAUUGCCAGGUUGGUAUUGUUCCAGACAUCGAAGAUUGUUGAUGUGUGAAGGCCGAGGGAAAAAUGUUAGUAACUACAAAGAGGGUACCAGCAUAAUCAAAUAAGGAUAGUUCACCAGGUGUAAAGGAAGUGGAGUGUGAACCCAGUGUUUCUUUUGACUACUCCAAGUCUGAAAUGAAUUCUAUGGAGAGGAAAAUGUUGAACCGGGUGCUUGAAGUAAAGGAGGAGCAUCCUAAGAAGCAGGUGUAAAUUUUGCCCUUAUGUCCUAUGAAAAGCUUACCAUUUCACGUCUUCAGUCAGGUUUGAGAAAAAGAUCAGAGUUUCAUCUGUUGUGAAAGUGGAAGGUAAUUAGACAUCAAAAGAUUAACAAGAAAGAUUUAUUGUGUCAAAUUUGUCCAAAUUAUAUUGAUGCUAUUAUUUUUUAGAUGACGUCGCUGUUAUUCUUACUAUAGAUGAUUUCUGUUCUUGCAACCUGAUUUUCUUAGGAAGACAGUAGAUUUCCCUACCGGGUGUAUUUGUAUUUUAAGUUUAGAAGGAUGUACAUGAAACAUAAAAUAAAGUAAAACCAACACAAGGCAGAGCCCUUUACUAGAAUGCACCAAGUCAUAUGUACUCCUCAACCCAAGGUUGCAGCCCUGAGUAUAUAAAUACGUGUUUCCAAAAUGAUGAUCUUUAAAAUAGAUAGACCCAGCUUCCUCAAACAUAACGUGAUAUUAUGUCAAACCUAUAUAAUCAGUACGCACAAUAUGUCCUCAAUUUUUGAAUUAGUGAAUUGCAUCAUUUUGUCCAUGUAGUGCUUACAUUCUUUUGUGGGAUCAAUUUAACCAUACAUGUUGCUCCUACAUUCUGGCUUUUGAUCCCCGCAAACAUUUUUAUUGCGAUGCCUAAUUUUUCACGGAGUUCAAAUUGUUUCAACUUAAGCUCUUGAAUAAAUUCAGUCCACUUUUCCUGAUUUCAGAUCAUUACAUACGUAUCAGUACCACUUUAAUAGUUAAAACCAUGCGAAGCAAUUGUGUCAAAAUUAGAUAUUUUGGCUACUCUAUUAAGAGUUUUUUUCCUAGUUGUAUCUGUGUUGAUCCUCAUGUCCAUUUGCUGAUCAAGAAGCUAACAUAGUAAUGUGUGUAGUUGCAGCUCCAGAAAAUUGGGAAGCAGUUCUUGGAGGUAUUAAAAACAUUAGGUUAUCUGGCCAAGCCCCCGUAGAUACAAAGGGCCGUGAGAAGGCUGGUUCUCUUCUUCCACCCAAGGUAUUCGUCAAUUGUCAGAGAGUUGUUCAGAUUCAAAAGUGUAGUUUACGAAGUCCAUGGACUAUGAAAAAUACAUGAGGAUGUGAUCAUCUUUGCGGAGAGUGUGGGUUUUAUGUAAUUUGAAAAUUCCCUUAAUUUUCUUGUGCUGUGCUACCAUUUGAAAUGUUUACUAGCUAGGAAGAAAAUGCAGCCUGUACAUGGGUUCAUGGCUAAUGGAUUGCAGAUUGGCCAUGGAUUUGGGCCUACUAAUCCACUAAUUUUUGACUGAUCUCAUAUCGUUGCAUAUUCGUUGUAAGCAAAGUUUUGCACAUUGAUCUGCUAUUUUUUAGGUGGAUCUAAUAUUUGUUUUCCAAUGGCUCCAGUUGCAUUGAA